GGCUAAUACCGGAUAAUUCUUUUCUACACAUGUAGAAAAGCUGAAAGAUGGUUUCGGCUAUCACUCAUAGAUGGGCCCGCGGCGCAUUAGCUAGUUGGUGAGGUAACGGCUCACCAAGGCGACGAUGCGUAGCCGACCUGAGAGGGUGAUCGGCCACACUGGGACUGAGACACGGCCCAG
rnacentral:rRNA from 1 species